GACGAACGCUGGCGGCGUGCCUAAUACAUGCAAGUAGAACGCUGAAGGAGGAGCUUGCUUCUCUGGAUGAGUUGCGAACGGGUGAGUAACGCGUAGGUAACCUGCCUGGUAGCGGGGGAUAACUAUUGGAAACGAUAGCUAAUACCGCAUAAGAGUAGAUGUUGCAUGACAUUUGCUUAAAAGGUGCAAUUGCAUCACUACCAGAUGGACCUGCGUUGUAUUAGCUAGUUGGUGGGGUAACGGCUUACCAAGGCGACGAUACAUAGCCGACCUGAGAGGGUGAUCGGCCACACUGGGACUGAGACACGGCCCAGACUCCUACGGGAGGCAGCAGUAGGGAAUCUUCGGCAAUGGACGGAAGUCUGACCGAGCAACGCCGCGUGAGUGAAGAAGGAUUUCGGAUCGUAAAGCUCUGUUGUAAGAGAAGAACGAGUGUGAGAGUGGAAAGUUCACACUGUGACGGUAUCUUACCAGAAAGGGACGGCUAACUACGUG
rnacentral:rRNA from 1 species